rnacentral:rRNA from 1 species
UGCUGGAGGUAUCAGAAGUGCGAAUGCUGACAUAAGUAACGAUAAAGCGGGUGAAAAGCCCGCUCGCCGGAAGACCAAGGGUUCCUGUCCAACGUUAAUCGGGGCAGGGUGAGUCGACCCCUAAGGCGAGGCCGAAAGGCGUAGUCGAUGGGAAACGGGUUAAUAUUCCCGUACUUGGUGUUACUGCGAAGGGGGGACGGAGAAGGCUAUGUUGGCCGGGCGACGGUUGUCCCGGUUUAAGCGUGUAGGUGUGUGUUCCAGGUAAAUCCGGUUCACUUUAACACUGAGGCGUGACGACGAGGCACUACGGUGCUGAAGCAACAAAUGCCCUGCUUCCAGGAAAAGCCUCUAAGCAUCAGGUAACAUCAAAUCGUACCCCAAACCGACACAGGUGGUCAGGUAGAGAAUACCAAGGCGCUUGAGAGAACUCGGGUGAAGGAACUAGGCAAAAUGGUGCCGUAACUUCGGGAGAAGGCACGCUGACAUGUAGGUGAAGUGAUUUACUCAUGGAGCUGAAGUCAGUCGAAGAUACCAGCUGGCUGCAACUGUUUAUUAAAAACACAGCACUGUGCAAACACGAAAGUGGACGUAUACGGUGUGACGCCUGCCCGGUGCCGGAAGGUUAAUUGAUGGGGUCAGCGCAAGCGAAGCUCCUGAUCGAAGCCCCGGUAAACGGCGGCCGUAACUAUAACGGUCCUAAGGUAGCGAAAUUCCUUGUCGGGUAAGUUCCGACCUGCACGAAUGGCGUAAUGAUGGCCAGGCUGUCUCCACCCGAGACUCAGUGAAAUUGAACUCGCUGUGAAGAUGCAGUGUACCCGCGGCAAGACGGAAAGACCCCGUGAACCUUUACUAUAGCUUGACACUGAACAUUGAGCCUUGAUGUGUAGGAUAGGUGGGAGGCUUUGAAGUGUGGACGCCAGUCUGCAUGGAGCCGACCUUGAAAUACCACCCUUUAAUGUUUGAUGUUCUAACGUGGACCCGUUACCCGGGUUGCGGACAGUGUCUGGUGGGUAGUUUGACUGGGGCGGUCUCCUCCUAAAGAGUAACGGAGGAGCACGAAGGUUGGCUAAUCCUGGUCGGACAUCAGGAGGUUAGUGCAAUGGCAUAAGCCAGCUUGACUGCGAGCGUGACGGCGCGAGCAGGUGCGAAAGCAGGUCAUAGUGAUCCGGUGGUUCUGAAUGGAAGGGCCAUCGCUCAACGGAUAAAAGGUACUCCGGGGAUAACAGGCUGAUACCGCCCAAGAGUUCAUAUCGACGGCGGUGUUUGGCACCUCGAUGUCGGCUCAUCACAUCCUGGGGCUGAAGUAGGUCCCAAGGGUAUGGCUGUUCGCCAUUUAAAGUGGUACGCGAGCUGGGUUUAGAACGUCGUGAGACAGUUCGGUCCCUAUCUGCCGUGGGCGCUGGAGAACUGAGGGGGGCUGCUCCUAGUACGAGAGGACCGGAGUGGACGCAUCACUGGUGUUCGGGUUGUCAUGCCAAUGGCACUGCCCGGUAGCUAAAUGCGGAAGAGAUAAGUGCUGAAAGCAUCUAAGCACGAAACUUGCCCCGAGAUGAGUUCUCCCUGAGACUUAGAGUCUCCUGAAGGAACGUUGAAGA